rnacentral:rRNA from 1 species
CCUAGGGUGGCUGCAGUGGGGAAUAUUGGACAAUGGGGGGAACCCUGAUCCAGCCAUGCCGCGUGUGUGAAGAAGGCCCUCGGGUUGUAAAGCACUUUCAGUGAGGAAGAACGCCUGGUGGUUAAUACCCAUCAGGAAAGACAUCACUCACAGAAGAAGCACCGGCUAACUCCGUGCCAGCAGCCGCGGUAAUACGGAGGGUGCGAGCGUUAAUCGGAAUUACUGGGCGUAAAGCGCGCGUAGGUGGCUUGAUAAGCCGGUUGUGAAAGCCCCGGGCUCAACCUGGGAACGGCAUCCGGAACUGUCAAGCUAGAGUGCAGGAGAGGAAGGUAGAAUUCCCGGUGUAGCGGUGAAAUGCGUAGAGAUCGGGAGGAAUACCAGUGGCGAAGGCGGCCUUCUGGACUGACACUGACACUGAGGUGCGAAAGCGUGGGUAGCAAACAGGAUUAGAUACCCUGGUAGUC